UACCAUUACAGCUCUUUUAGAAUUUGUCUAGGAGGUUUUCUGGUUUUUACCAGAAAGCCUAG
ensembl:snRNA U7 U7 small nuclear RNA